rnacentral:rRNA from 1 species
UGGGGAAUAUUGCACAAUGGGCGCAAGCCUGAUGCAGCAACGCCGCGUGAGGGAUGAAGGCCUUCGGGUUGUAAACCUCUUUUAGCAGGGAAGAAGCGAAAGUGACGGUACCUGCAGAAAAAGCACCGGCUAACUACGUGCCAGCAGCCGCGGUAAUACGUAGGGUGCAAGCGUUGUCCGGAAUUAUUGGGCGUAAAGAGCUCGUAGGCGGUUUGUCGCGUCUGCUGUGAAAACCUGAGGCUCAACCUCAGACCUGCAGUGGGUACGGGCAAGCUAGAGUGCGGUAGGGGAGAUGGGAAUUCCUGGUGUAGCGGUGGAAUGCGCAGAUAUCAGGAGGAACACCGAUGGCGAAGGCACAUCUCUGGGCCGUAACUGACGCUGAGGAGCGAAAGCGUGGGGAGCGAACAGG